CCUUACGACCAGGGCUACACACGUGCUACAAUGGCGCAUACAAAGAGAAGCGAACUCGCGAGAGCAAGCGGACCUCAUAAAGUGCGUCGUAGUCCGGAUUGGAGUCUGCAACUCGACUCCAUGAAGUCGGAAUCGCUAGUAAUCGUGGAUCAGAAUGCCACGGUGAAUACGUUCCCGGGCCUUGUACACACCGCCCGUCACACCAUGGGAGUGGGUUGCAAAAGAAGUAGGUAGCUUAACCUUCGGGAGGGCGCUUACCACUUUGUGAUUCAUGACUGGGGUGAAGUCGUAACAAGGUAACCGUAGGGGAACCUGCGGUUGGAUCACCUCCUUACCUUAAAGA
rnacentral:rRNA from 1 species